GAUGAACGCUGGCGGCGUGCCUAAUACAUGCAAGUCGAGCGAACAGAUGAGGAGCUUGCUCCUCUGACGUUAGCGGCGGACGGGUGAGUAACACGUGGAUAACCUACCUAUAAGACUGGGAUAACUUCGGGAAACCGGAGCUAAUACCGGAUAAUAUAUUGAACCGCAUGGUUCAAUAGUGAAAGACGGUUUUGCUGUCACUUAUAGAUGGAUCCGCGCCGCAUAGCUAGUUGGUAAGGUAACGGCUUACCAAGGCAACGAUGCGUAGCCGACCUGAGAGGGUGAUCGGCCACACUGGAACUGAGACACGGUCCAGACUCCUACGGGAGGCAGCAGUAGGGAAUCUUCCGCAAUGGGCGAAAGCCUGACGGAGCAACGCCGCGUGAGUGAUGAAGGUCUUCGGAUCGUAAAACUCUGUUAUUAGGGAAGAACAAAUGUGUAAGUAACUAUGCACGUCUUGACGGUACCUAAUCAGAAAGCCACGGCUAACUACGU
rnacentral:rRNA from 1 species